GAUGAACGCUGGCGGCGUGCCUAAUACAUGCAAGUCGAGCGAACAGACGAGGAGCUUGCUCCUCUGACGUUAGCGGCGGACGGGUGAGUAACACGUGGAUAACCUACCUAUAAGACUGGGAUAACUUCGGGAAACCGGAGCUAAUACCGGAUAAUAUAUUGAACCGCAUGGUUCAAUAGUGAAAGACGGUUUUGCUGUCACUUAUAGAUGGAUCCGCGCCGCAUUAGCUAGUUGGUAAGGUAACGGCUUACCAAGGCAACGAUGCGUAGCCGACCUGAGAGUGUGAUCUGCCACACUGGAACUGAGACACGGUCCAGACUCCUACGGGAGGCAGCAGUAGGGAAUCUUCCGCAAUGGGCGAAAGCUUGACGGAGCAACGCCGCGUGAGUGAUGAAGGUCUUCGGAUCGUAAAACUCUGUUAUUAGGGAAGAACAAAUGUGUAAGUAACUAUGCACGUCUUGACGGUACCUAAUCAGAAAGCCACGGCUAACUACGUG
rnacentral:rRNA from 1 species